rfam:Sugiyamaella lignohabitans strain CBS 10342 chromosome B, complete sequence.
GCGCUAGUAGUUUAAUGGUAAAAUACGGCGUUCCCAUUUCGAGAAGUUAAAUUCCGCUAAAUACGGAUUUUUGCCGUGCUCCUGGUUCGAUUCCUGGCUGGCGCA